rnacentral:rRNA from 1 species
CCCCCCAAAGCAAAAAUGCUAAGUGUUAGAGGGUUUCCGCCCUUUAGUGCUGCAGCUAACGCAUUAAGACUCCAACUGGGGAGGACGGUCGCAAGACUGAAACUCAAAGGAAUUGACGGGGGCCCGCCCAAGCGGUGGAACAUGUGGUUUAAUUCGAAGCAACGCGAAAAACCUUACCAGGUCUUGACAUCCUUUGCCACUUCUAAAAAAUAGAAGGUCCCCCCUCCGGGGGACAAAAUGACAGGGGGGGCAUGGUUGUCCUCACCUCGUGUCGUGAAAAUGUUGGGUUAAAUCCCCCAACGAGCGCAACCCUUGAUUUUAUUUGCCACCAUUCAGUUGGGCCUUCUAAGGGGACUGCCGGGGAAAACCCGGAGGAAGGGGGGGAUGACGUCAAAUCAUCAUGCCCCUUAUGAUUUUGGGCUACACACGUGCUACAAUGGAUGGAACAAAGGGCUGCGAAACCGCGAAGGUUUAACCAAUCCCAUAAAACCAUUCUCAGUUCGGAUUGGAGGCUGCAACUCCCCUGCUUGAAAAUUGGAAAUCCCUAAAAAUCCCGGAUCCACAUGCCGCGGGGGAAAAAAAUUUCCCCGGGGCCUUGUAUAAAACGCCCGUCACACCACAAAAAGUUUUGCAACCCCCCAAAACUCGGGGGGGGGAAAACCCCAAAGACCCCCCCCCCCCAAAAGGGGGGGAAAAAGAUUGGGGGGGAAAAGCCAACCAGGGAAACCGAGUA